rnacentral:tRNA from 1 species
GCGAGAGUAGUUCAGUUGGCUAGAAUGUCUCCUUGCCAAGGAGAAGGUCGNNUUGCCAAGGAGAAGGUCGCGGGUUCGAGUCCCGUCUCUCGCUCCA